GUAAGGUAUGAAUUUCCCUUGCUGCC
rnacentral:piRNA from 1 species